rnacentral:lncRNA from 1 species
UUUACUUUCUAUUUAAACUUAUUUAUAUAAACAAGUUUUCUUUCUCUUUUUUUAUACCCUUAGGCUAGUUCAGGGGAUACGAUAAAAGAUCUCCAAAUGUGUCCUGUACCUCCUUUGGGCUGCCACCUGCACUGCUGCCAUCACCAAUGGAGUGUUUUUAAUGAGGGAGGGAAGGUAGCUUAUUCCCCAAAGCAAAGUCUUGUGGGAUUGAUUCCUGUUUACAGGGGUUGUCUCUAAAUGCCAGGUAUUUUCCCCAUUGCUCUGUGAAAUUUGGCUGGGUGAUACUUAUGCUGGUUUCUUCUUUACUUUCUGUGUUACAAUUCUGCAUGUCCUACUUUUACUCAAUUCUUCUCAAUUUUGCAUUUUCUUUGCCCUAGCGACAAAAAAUUAUAUCUCCCUUGAUCCCACUACCACUACUCCAGUUCAAAGUAGAUUGUAGCCUGCCAAAAGAUUCUUCCCCUCAUCCUAUUGAAGUCUUUUUUCAUUAUCCCAUAUUAAUGUGACUGUAGGAGAGCCAACUAAAUAGAAAUCAAGUUCUAGAAACACACAUACCCCAUACAUACAUUUAUAUGAUCUCCAGAGGGUCCUUAAAGAAUGAAUUUUAGAUUGAAAAAUAUUUAGUUGACACAUACCAUCUCUAAACAAACCAACUGAUAUAUUUUUAAUCUGUUUCUAUUUCGUCUUGUAAUUAAUUUGGUGGAAAUACUUAUUUGUUUUAAUAUAAAUACAGGGUAUAUGGCACAUUUAAUAAGAUCAUAUUUCUUAAUUGGCUGGUGCCCAGCUCUAGGUUGAGAAGUGAUUUUCCUCUUCCCCACCUGUAUUUUCUUUGUUUUGUCCACCCUAAUGGAAACAGCACACGGUUAAGCCUUUUUCCAGCUACAACCACAGUGUGCUUGAGCCUGUCCCCUCAAGUGCAUUCAGGAGCACCCAAGGUGAUCCUCACUUACAGCCUGCUUGAGCAGUGUAGCUUUUUGCACACUCUGUCUUCCUGAGGUGACUUCAGUAAGCCAUGCUUGUCCAUCUCUUUUCCUCAUUUUCAUCUGGUGUCAUGGGUAGAAACCUUCAAAUGUAACCACAGAAGCUAAGCUUGGCCUGCUCUGCUCUUCACUAUCCUCCAACAUGGGCAGAACUGCCGCCCUGGCUCGUCCAUCUCACCUGAGCCUCGUUCCCAGACAGCCAGGGACCUGGGUUUAAAUCUUAGCAGGUACAGCCUGCCAUGAUCUUUUGUCACUUACCCUUCCUUUCAGCAAUCAACCAGGAUAAGGGUUUUGGUCCCUAGAGAUUUCAGUUCUGAAGAAGAUUAAAUCUGAAUCAAUUUUACAUGCCCUUCCAGUCUACUUUAUGCCAUUCUCACCUUUUCGAAUGUAGUGGGGGACUGGCUGUGACAUUUAAAGAGAAUAAACGUUUUGCACAUACAUGUAUUGUACAACAGUAAAAUCCUGUUAUAACCAGCUGUCCUUGUUCUUCAUCUCCGUUUCUUCCCAUUCUGUAACCCAGGCUUCACCAGCUGUUCCCCAGUGACAUUACCUAGCUUCCCUCCACCAUCACCUACUGACUAUUUCCACUAUGCGCCUUUCCUACCUUCCCUUCACAACUGAUCAAGUGAAUACUUGAUUAUUAUUUCUUCCUUACUGUGCUUUAUUUUUGUUUGGUUCUAAUUAAUGAAAAUAAAAGUUUCUAAAUUUACAUUUUUAUAGGGUAUUGUAAAUAAAAACAAAUUGUAU